rnacentral:rRNA from 1 species
UACGAAGGGGGCUAGCGUUGUUCGGAAUUACUGGGCGUAAAGCGCGCGCAGGCGGUCCUUUAAGUCUGAUGUGAAAUCCCGUGGCUUAACCACGGGCGGUCAUUGGAAACUGGGGGACUUGAGUGCAGAAGAGAAGAGCGGAAUUCCACGUGUAGCGGUGAAAUGCGUAGAGAUGUGGAGGAACACCAGUGGCGAAGGCGGCUCACUGGUCCGGUACUGACGCUGAGGUGCGAAAGCGUGGGGAGCAAACAGG